rnacentral:rRNA from 1 species
UUGCACAAUGGGGGAAACCCUGAUGCAGCCAUGCCGGCGUGUGUGUAAGAAGGACCUUCGGGUUGUUAAAGCACUUUCAGUAGGGAGGAAGGUAGUGUAGUUAACACCUGCAUUAUUUGACGUUACCUACAGAAGAAGCACCGGCUAACUCCGUGCCAGCAGCCGCGGUAAUACGGAGGGUGCGAGCGUUAAUCGGAAUUACUGGGCGUAAAGCGCAUGCAGGCGGCCUGUUAAGUCAGAUGUGAAAGCCCGGGGCUUAACCUCGGAAUUGCAUUUUGAAACUGGCAGGCUAGAGUCUUGUAGAGGGGGUAGAAUUUCAGGUGUAGCGGUGAAAUGCGUAGAGAUCUGAAGGAAUACCAGUGGCGAAGGCGGCCCCCUGGACAAAGACUGACGCUCAGACUGCGAAAGCGUGGGGAGCAAACAGGAUUAGAUACCCCUGGUAG